AUUUUUUUUUCAGCUUUUCUCUCCAUUUUGCCCUUUGUGCCGUUCUAUAGCCUACCUGAAGGAGAAGAAGAGCUUCUAGUAAAUAGAAGAAUUGCAAAGUUUUGUAUUUUCCAGAACACCUAUAUGAAAUGGCUUUUGCUUCAGAAAGUUUAGCAUGAAGAAAGCCAAUUUUAAAAGGUAGGGAGAUGAAAUUCAAACUGUUUACUUAGCUAUGGGUACCCUUUUUCUAAGCUGAACUACUUCAGGCAUUUUCAGUCUGGAUACAGAAAAAAAAGCAAGCUGAAAAAUUGACUCCACCUGAAAGCAAUUCUCUCCUCCUUACCUUUUGACUGGUGACAGCAGAGAAAAUAAAAUCUGGAACUGCUUCAGGGACUUGGCCUUUCAACAGAGACUUGCAUACCAGAGAAGGACAGAGCCACCUUGACUUCUAAUCCAUGUGUCUUGUAUGAACAGGGAUAGCAGCUAUAGAAAUGUAUAUGAAGGAGAAGAGAAAGGGGAGGAAGUUGAAGUGGAACAGCUGUUGUGUAUAGAACCAAAAAGAAGAGCAACAAAGGGAUCUAAGGAAGGAGGGACAAAAAAAGCUCUCUCUUGUGGACACGCCAUAGGGAAUGCAUGUUUAUAACAAAAGAGACCAAUACUCUACCAUUCUCUAAAAGUGAAAGGGUUUCUCAGAGAACAAAGUGUCUUUGUCAGGAAACUGUCACAGACUUUGAAAAACUGAUUCAGAUCACAAAGCACCAAAGAAAGCUAUGAGUGAGCAACAGAGAACUGGGAGGAUCCAGCACGAGAGAGGAACCAGAAGACCUGCUGCAGAUGGAGCAGAGGACAGAAAGAAGCAGAGGACAGUGCCCUGAAGACACCACACCAUCAGAGGUGCAGAGUGAAAUGCCCCCAAACCGUCUCCUUCACUUCUUUUGCACAAUUGUGCAAAAUAUAUUCACUCUUUGUGCUACCAUGCCCAUUUUCUAGGGCAGGAAACAAUAUAGUCAGUGUCUUUAACAACUGUGCACUAGACAAGUGGAGAAAAAAGGAUGGUGGUAAACCUUUGAGUAAACCUGCCUUCAAAAGCAGGUUUCACUCCACUCACAUUCCUACAUUUUUUGAAUUCGAGGAAAAUAUUGUUCAAUAAUUUUCAUUGUUUUCAACCAAUUCACAAAAAACUUUUUUAGCACAAACCCCUUUGUUACUUUUCGAAAGUUUAAUAUGAUAACAAAAUUUUUUGAAUAUUGUUUUCUUCAGACUAUUACACAGUUCUGUAUUUAUUUUUCAUGGAAUAAUUGAGCUUCAUUCAUUUUACUUGCUUUUUCGCACUCAAUUUUUUUUGGACAGGUACAAAAUGCAUGCACUGUGUAAUGGUAUGUAUUAAACCAUUACCCAGGUUUUCCUCUCAAGGAGGAAAUAGUGUUUCAUAUAUGAUUAAUAUUUAUAAUUCAGGCUGAACAAAUAAUAAAAACAUUUUUUAAAGCACACCACUAAAGUGAUCUUUUAAAGCAUAUCUUAGUCUAACAGCUUGACAGCUGACUAAUAAAUGCCCUUCCUCAAGAUCAGCCUGUCACCAUCCAACUGUCAUCUUCCUGACAAAGCACUCCUCUAAAGACACUGCAGCAUGCAGAAAUGCUGAGAGUAUUGGACCUGAUGAGAUCUAGACGACCAUGAGGCCUUGCCCAAAGAACAGUGAGUAGUGAUGUUACUGCAUUUGCUCAGAGAGUAUUUGGUGCUUUCCUUGCUGUUGCUCCUGUGAUCACCAUCCAAGGUUCAGAUUUAUUGGUAUUUUUGUUCUAGCAGUGUGAAUGCAUGAACCAGGAAAGACUUUUUUUCUUAGAAAACUCUUAAAGACAUGAGUGCCAUUCAUCUUUCCAAACCAGCCAUUGGUAUUAUCACUGUAAUAUUUCUGGUUUCUUGACAGUGCUUGCAGAAAUAUGGAGUAGUUGCUUUCUGUAUUUAUGUGCUCAGCGGCAAAUGGGAAAGGGAUGGAAAUGUGAUAAGCACCCUGUACAGGCAGGCCAUUGUGCCUAGCUCAUCACUGAGGCUCAGUCCUGCUCACAUGGAGCGAUGUGUCAUGGUUAGAUGGUGACUGCUUGCACUACGGAUUUUUCAGCCUGAGACUUAUUGCUUAAUACAUGAUUACAAACUAGUGUUUUGAAUUUCCAGACUGUGUAGCCACCGCUCGAUUUUUUGCUGUCAAAGAUCUCAUUUUGGUGAGUUACACGAGUGCACUAUAGCCAACUGAAAACAGCUCUGGGAGUGUGUGGGUUUUUUUCUUUAGUUGGAAUUCUUCCAGUUACUCUUAACAAUCCCACUUUUACACCCUACCCUCCUCUGAGUGACCAUUUCUUGGCUUGGAGGUACGACCCUUGAAGAGCAGCUGGCCAGGUAUGCUAACCAGUGCCCACCGUGUCUGCACAGUGGCUCUUUCAACCACUUUUUUUCUUAAAAAGACUUGUGUCCUGUCCAUCACACUUCCAGCUGCUGAAAUCAGGGCUAUCUUUUCAUUUGCAUGAAUAGAAAAAAAGUUGUGUCUAAAACAUACCUAGGACCUCCACUGGAGCCAUGCUGAUGGUGAGCAGAGGAAAACUGUAGGGGACCAUGGUUUUUAAAACCCCUAAAUGCUAGGAGGCCAGAAAAUAUUACCGGGUCAGAGAAAAAAACAAAGAGGAUUUGGAGCAAGAUCUGCUUUGAAAGCAGGUGGCAGACAUACCCGUUGCAAAACUCAGUGGCAAAGAAACUGGCAUAUAGGGCAUGGAGAGUUUUAUUGACAGGGCAUUGUAGUAUCAGAAUUAAAACCACGGUGUGUGUACCUGACUGCUUAUGCUGGUAACAUAUGCAAGAAUAUCAGCAUAAAAGCCAGGUGUGCACUGACCCCCAGAGAAAUACAUGUAAGGUAGGCAAUUCGAGGUGUCAAAUCUUGCUGGUGUAGGUCGAGGCUUAGGCAGAGGAGCCUAGGUGUUAUUCUUUGGGACAGCGGCAAACAUAACAAUUUUUUGGAGUAGGGAGAAUGGCAUUAGCUUUCCUUCUGACAGUUUCUUUAGAGCACAUACACUAUCAUCUGAUGCGUAUUGCUGUGUUUGUUUAGAAAUGCAAAGCACUUCUCCACAAGAGUCUUCUCAAGUAGAGGCGGUUCUGCAGGGUCAAGAGAAGCAAAGUCUGAGGAAAUUCUUCAAUCUUGCCCCUACCUUUCUUCCUUCUAGCAGGAUUAUGACAUACUGCAGAUCUGUGCUAGACACCACUGCCUUCAUGGCUCUGAAAUACACUAGUUGACUUUUAAAAUUAGAAAAAAAACCCUAUCAUCUGUUUUACAAUGGCUAUCAGUAAGGGUAGGGAGAGCAGAUGACUGGCCGACAUCCUUUGAAAGUAAACAGUGAGACAGUUUGCUUCCUAAAUUACAUUGCGGAACCCUUGCUCCUCACCAUUACACACUGCAAUUUUGCUAUGCCUAAUCCCUGUAUGCUAUUUGUACUCCUUUCUCUGUUUCUUUCAUAGUAAGAUUAUGGCUUUCAGAAAAAACAAAAACAAAAACGAAAUAAUACUGAAUCUAUAUACAUGACAGAUUUUUUAUUUUUUUUCUCAAGUUGCAUGGCCAUUUCGUAUCUUCCUCUGCUUACCCUCCUCUUUUGGCACAAUCAACAGCGGAGUAAAAAGGAAGCUUUAGAGAUUGCUAAACUAAGAGCCUGUGUUUCAUAGUCCCUGGUGUGCAAUCAAAGCUGGAAACCAGAGGUGUGCUGCCAGCUACACCACUCAUUUCUCGCUGCAUGCCUCAAGCAAAAGCUGCUCUGAAUGUGUAUGGCAACAACCGAGGCAGCAGUGAGGAGAGGCAUAAACCAGAGACAGAGAAAUGUCUUUCUUCAGUCAGGAAGUGGCAGAACUUUUCAUCAAUUAAGGUUUCAUAGCAUUCAUACAUAGACUGGCUCCUAUAUGAGAAUUACUGGGGACUGGAUGCUAAGCAUCUUUCCCCUGGAUUGAAAGAGCUCAGAUCUAGGUCAGGUCUGUGCAGGCCAAAAUCUGUCAUUAUUUAGUAGCUGUCCAGUGGUCUGUGUAAAAUAAAUUGGUAGAUUCAUUUAGCUUUUGGAAAAAAGUUACCAGGUUAUAUAAAACACUAUCAAAAGAGAGCAUUUUCUGGUAGUCUAAGGAGAAAGACCAAAGGUUAAGGUAAAACAAACAGCAUAUUCUUUUAAAAAAAGAAAAGUAAUCAGAAUUUGGAAAGGAAUCUUUAAUUUUAAAAUGUAAAUUACAGACUAUUAUUCCUGAUUGAACUUCUCUUUAUUUAGAAAUUGUCUGAUUUGGAUACUAAAGUCUUAUGAGAAUUUUUAAGAAUGAAUAUAUUAUUUUGAGGUAUUAUAAUGGGACUUCUUGACUCACCAUUUUUGUUGAUAGUUUGUUUUGGGUUAUGCACUGUUUGUAAAAAAGGAUGAAUGCUCAGAGCAGAGUGCCAAAAUUGGAAGCUGAACGAGAGUCCUGAGCCUGGAGUUUCUGUCAGUUUGGACAGAAUUAAGUAUAUUUCGCUGGAUAUUACAGAAAAGGAAAAAGCUAAUAUAACAUUCUUGAGAGAAAGAUAGCUCAGACUUCUGUUAUUGAAAGUCUGGGCCACAAGUUCUGUAUUCAGACGCCAACUGCCUAGCAAGGAGAUACUGUGUUCAACGAGGAGACAGGUUCAGAAAAUAACAUUGCAAGGACAAAGGCUUACAUUUCUUCCAAGAAUCAGUUAAGAAAGAGCAGUGACUCUCUAAAUCUUUUUAAACCUUUAUUUAUUUAUUUAUUUUAAUUUUUACAUUUCUAUCUUUGUCCACUUUUCCAUCCUUUUCUCCUCUUUCCCAUCUCGAGGUAAUUG